rnacentral:rRNA from 1 species
GGAAAGCAUCAGAGAUGAUGCCCCCCUUGUGGUCGGUGUACAGGUGGUGCAUGGCUGUCGUCAGCUCGUGUCGUGAGAUGUUGGGUUAAGUCCCGCAACGAGCGCAACCCUUGUUCUGUGUUGCCAGCAUGCCCUUCGGGGUGAUGGGGACUCACAGGAGACUGCCGGGGUCAACUCGGAGGAAGGUGGGGACGACGUCAAGUCAUCAUGCCCCUUAUGUCUUGGGCUGCACACGUGCUACAAUGGCCGGUACAAUGAGCUGCGAUGCCGCGAGGCGGAGCGAAUCUCAAAAAGCCGGUCUCAGUUCGGAUUGGGGUCUGCAACUCGACCCCAUGAAGUCGGAGUUGCUAGUAAUCGCAGAUCAGCAUUGCUGCGGNGAAUACGUUCCCG